rnacentral:rRNA from 1 species
UACGUAGGGUGCAAGCGUUGUCCGGAAUUAUUGGGCGUAAAGAGCUCGUAGGCGGUCUGUCACGUCUGCUGUGAAAACUCGGGGCUUAACCCCGGGCCUGCAGCUGGGUACGGGCAGGACUAGAGUGCGGUAGGGGAGAGCUGGAAUUCCUGGUGUAGCGGUGAAAUGCGCAGAUAUCAGGAGGAACACCGGUGGCGAAGGCGGGUCUCUGGGCUGUGAACUGACGCUGGAGGAGCGAAAGCGUG